GUAGAAUCCAACACCAAACUGACCGAUCAUACUAACAUCAGCACCAGCCUGCAGUGCCUCCAUGAACUCCUUCGUACCAGAUCUCGCAAUUGUUCCCAAAUUGUUAACCAGGUCAGCCUUCGUCAUACCACAACCACUGUCAAUGAUCGACAGCGUCUUGUUCACCUUGUCCGGAACGAUCCUGAUGAACAGCUCCGGCUGC
rnacentral:misc_RNA from 1 species